rfam:Triticum aestivum genome assembly, contig: Triticum_aestivum_CS42_TGACv1_scaffold_003221_1AL
UAAAUACUCGCUCCGUUCGGAAUUACUUAUCGGAGAAACGAAUGUACUAGACAUAUUUUAGUUUUAAAUACAUUCAUUUUUAUUCAUUUCUGCGACAAGUAAUUUCGGAAGAAGGGAGUACGUA